rnacentral:rRNA from 1 species
UACAGAGGCCUCGAGCGUUAGGCGGAAUCACUGGGCUUAACGCGUGUGUAGGCGGACUUCUAAGUACCUUGUGAAAUCCCACGGCUUACCCGUGGAACUGCUCGGUAUACUGGUUGUCUUGAGCCACCUAGGGGCGAGUGGAACAAAUGGUGGAGCGGUGAAAUGCGUAGAUAUCAUUUGGAACGCCAAUGGUGAAAACAACUCGCUGGGGGUGUGCUGACGCUGAGACACGAAAGCCAGGGGAGCGAACGGG